UCAUUCGGAUUCGCCAUCAUACGUCCAACCGUGCAUUUGAUAUGCAUAUAUAUGCAUCACGAGCUACGGUUGGGCUGUAUGAUGGCGAUACCAAUUGG
rnacentral:pre_miRNA from 1 species